UUGUUUUUCCAUGUAACAGAUUUACCUUCAUUGUGUUUCUUUUUUUCUGUCAGACCAUCAAUGCCUACAUGUUCCAUCUGGAUCGGAAUUUUAACAUCCAGUCAACUGAGCAGCUUUCUACAUUGACACCUUUAAAAUUACUGGCAUUUGGGGGAGCAAGAAAUCAAAACUUAAGAUAGAUCCAGUGAUGUACAAGUACAUUAUUGGCAUCAUCAAUGAACACAACCACUGGACUGUGACGGUUGUGCUGCCAUCCCAGAAGAGGGCUCUGUUCCUCGACCCAAUGGGGGAAAGGGCCAGAAAGGUUCAAAGAUGCCAGGGGUUGACAAGAUCAUUCCUGAGAGAGAAGGGGUGUAAUAUCUCCAGAUGGGCGUGUGGUACCCUUCCUCACCCAUGCCAACAAGAUGUUACUUCUUGUGGGGUCUUUGCCUUGAAAUUUGCUGAAUGUGUUCUGAAGGAGGAGUUGUUUGUCUUUUCAAAUACGGACAAAGAUGUUUAACAUCAUGAGAGAAGAAAUAGCAGUCACUCUCCUCCAAAACACUGAUGACAUGAGCUAACUGUGCCACUUCUGUGGGGAGGUGGACAAUAAUGAGGAAGACACUAACUAGAUUGGUUGUGACCGCUGCCCACGUUGGCUCCACCAGUCCUGUAUGAAAACCAUCCCAUCAUUGGAGGAUUAUGUCUGCGCUACCUGUCAGGACUAGGUUAGGCUUGAGUUCCAGGCGGGAUCACCUGGAAAACUUUCCAUAAAAUGUGGACUAAAUGUUCAGUCGAGCUGUUGCAGCUUUCCAAUUAGUUUCUGUUAUUUAUUAUCUUUUUAUAUUUGAUUUAUUAAAAAACAUGAGCUGGCGCACAUCCAGAAACAUGAGUUGUGUGGAGGUGCUGACUA